UACGUAGGGGGCGAGCGUUGUCCGGAUUUAUUGGGCGUAAAGAGCGUGUAGGCGGCCAGGUGGGUCCGUUGUGAAAACUCGAGGCUCAACCUCGAGACGCCGGUGGAAACCAUCUAGCUAGAGUCCGGAAGAGGAGAGUGGAAUUCCUGGUGUAGCGGUGAAAUGCGCAGAUAUCAGGAAGAACACCCGUGGCGAAGGCGGCUCUCUGGGACGUGACUGACGCUGAGACGCGAAAGCGUGGGGAGCGAACAGG
rnacentral:rRNA from 1 species